AGCAGCCGCGGUAAUUCCAGCUCCAAUAGCGUAUAUUAAAGUUGUUGUGGUUAAAAAGCUCGUAGUUGAACCUUGGGCCUGGCUGGCCGGUCCGCCUCACCGCGUGUACUGGUCCGGCCGGGCCUUUCCCUCUGUGGAACCCCAUGCCCUUCACUGGGUGUGGCGGGGAAACAGGACUUUUACUUUGAAAAAUUAGAGUGCUCCAGGCAGGCCUAUGCUCGAAUACAUUAGCAUGGAAUAAUAGAAUAGGACGCGUGGUUCUAUUUUGUUGGUUUCUAGGACCGCCGUAAUGAUUAAUAGGGACAGUCGGGGGCAUCAGUAUUCAAUUGUCAGAGGUGAAAUUCUUGGAUUUAUUGAAGACUAACUACUGCGAAAGCAUUUGCCAAGGAUGUUUUCAUUAAUCAGGAACGAAAGUUAGGGGAUCGAAGACGAUCAGAUACCGUCGUAGUCUUAACCAUAAACUAUGCCGACUAGGGAUCGGACGAUGUUACUAUUGACUUCGUUCGG
rnacentral:sRNA from 1 species